UGCAGUCGAGCGGUAGCACAGGGGAGCUUGCUCCCUGGGUGACGAGCGGCGGACGGGUGAGUAAUGUCUGGGAAACUGCCUGAUGGAGGGGGAUAACUACUGGAAACGGUAGCUAAUACCGCAUAACGUCGCAAGACCAAAGAGGGGGACCUUCGGGCCUCUUGCCAUCAGAUGUGCCCAGAUGGGAUUAGCUAGUAGGUGGGGUAAUGGCUCACCUAGGCGACGAUCCCUAGCUGGUCUGAGAGGAUGACCAGCCACACUGGAACUGAGACACGGUCCAGACUCCUACGGGAGGCAGCAGUGGGGAAUAUUGCACAAUGGGCGCAAGCCUGAUGCAGCCAUGCCGCGUGUGUGAAGAAGGCCUUCGGGUUGUAAAGCACUUUCAGCGAGGAGGAAGGUGGUGAACUUAAUACGYUCAUCAAUUGACGUUACUCGCAGAAGAAGCACCGGCUAACUCCGUGCCAGCAGCCGCGGUAAUACGGAGGGUGCAAGCGUUAAUCGGAAUUACUGGGCGUAAAGCGCACGCAGGCGGUUUGUUAAGUCAGAUGUGAAAUCCCCGGGCUCAACCUGGGAACUGCAUUUGAAACUGGCAAGCUAGAGUCUCGUAGAGGGGGGUAGAAUUCCAGGUGUAGCGGUGAAAUGCGUAGAGAUCUGGAGGAAUACCGGUGGCGAAGGCGGCCCCCUGGACGAMGACUGACGCUCAGGUGCGAAAGCGUGGGGAGCAAACRGGAUUAGAUMCCCUGGKAGUCCACGCUG
rnacentral:rRNA from 1 species